rnacentral:rRNA from 1 species
UACGUAGGGACCAAGCGUUGUCCGGAAUCAUUGGGCGUAAAGAGCGUGUAGGCGGCUUGUUAAGUCUUGCGUGAAAUCUCGGGGCUCAACCCCGAGCGGUCGUGAGAAACUGGCAGGCUAGAGUGCGGGAGAGGAGAGUGGAAUUCAUGGUGUAGCAGUGAAAUGCGUAGAUAUCAUGAGGAAGACCAGUGGCGAAGGCGGAUCUCUGGACAGUUCCUGACACUGAGGCACGAAGGCCAGGGGAGCAAACGGG